UAGUAUGGGGAUCUGCCCGAUAGAGGGGGAUAACUACUGGAAACGGUGGCUAAUACCGCAUAAUGUCUACGGACCAAAGCAGGGGCUCUUCGGACCUUGCACUAUCGGAUGAACCCAUAUGGGAUUAGCUAGUAGGUGGGGUAAAGGCUCACCUAGGCGACGAUCUCUAGCUGAUCUGAGAGGAUGAUCAGCCACACUGGGACUGAGACACGGCCCAG
rnacentral:rRNA from 1 species